AUCUUUAUCGGAAGUAUCUUAGCAAAAAUCUUAGGUUAGAAUUAAUUAAAAUUAAAUGAUAAAUCAGAGUUAAAGCUAAGAAACGUUGAAACGUUGCUUAGCUAAGGAACGUUACUUAAGCUAAGAGGGGAGACACGUGUAAAACAAAAGAAGAGAAAUUUUUUUUUGCCCGUGUUUCUUUUUCUCUCUCUCUCUCCGACGGCAAAAAAACGAAGAGAAAAUGCUUUCAAAUCUUCGUCUCCGCCGUUAAUUGUUACAGCCGGUGAAUCGGAGGAUGGCAUCUUCAUCAUCUCAACCGACGGCGGCUCUCCACGGCGCCUCUGGUUCAUCUAAUCGGCGAAGGAAGGUUUUUAAAUCGGAGAGUCAUUUAUGAAGUUCUCCGAGUUUUUUUUCAAGAAAUCUGACAAAAUCCGUGCUUUCGGGUGAAAUAUGUGAACACAUUAUUUAUGCACCGGCAACACACACAAGCUUUGCUUCUUUGCCAGACAUGCUUUUGCAAUGACGGGUUGGAGGCUUGGUUAUCUUGCUGGUCCUAAACAUAUUGUGGCAGCUUGCAGUAAAUUACAAGGCCAGGUUACUUCAGGAGCUAGUAGCAUUGCUCAGAAAGCGCAUGUGUUGCUGCACUUGGGUUAGGCAAAGCUGGAGGAGAUACAAUUGCAGAGAUGGUUAAAGCAUAUAGGGAAAGACGAGAUUUCUUGAUUAAAACUUCUAUAUGUUGUAACUUCUAUAUCAGCUUUGUCUCCAUUCCAAUAAAAAGCUCUCUCUUUAUACUUUGUUUUUUUUCCUUCAAGUUCGUGUAACCAAACCAACAAAAAACCAUUCUCUUCAUUGUAAAUAAUUUAUUAGAAUUUAAGGUUGCGUAUAAGAUCACGACAAAAGAAACAUUUUCCCUA